AUUGAACGCUGGCGGCAGGCCUAACACAUGCAAGUCGAACGGUAACAGAAAGCAGCUUGCUGCUUUGCUGACGAGUGGCGGGCGGGUGAGUAAUGUCUGGGAAACUGCCUGAUGGAGGGGGAUAACUACUGGAAACGGUAGCUAAUACCGCGUAACGUCCCAAGACCAAAGAGGGGGACCUUCGGGCCUCUUGCCAUCGGAUGUGCCCAGAUGGGAUUAGCUAGUAGGUGGGGUAAAGGCCCACCUAGGCGACGAUCCCUAGCUGGUCUGAGAGGAUGACCAGCCACACUGGAACUGAGACACGGUCCAGACUCCUACGGGAGGCAGCAGUGGGGAAUAUUGCACAAUGGGCGCAAGCCUGAUGCAGCCAUGCCGCGUGGAUGAAGAAGGCCUUCGGGUUGUAAAGUACUUUUAGCGGGGAGGAAGGGAGGAAAGUUAAUACCUUGCCUUAUUGACGUUACCCGAAGAAGAAGCACCGGCUAACUCCGUG
rnacentral:rRNA from 1 species